GACGAACGCUGGCGGCGUGCUUAACACAUGCAAGUCGAACGGAAAGGCCCUGCUUUUGUGGGGUGCUCGAGUGGCGAACGGGUGAGUAACACGUGAGUAACCUGCCCUUGACUUUGGGAUAACUUCAGGAAACUGGGGCUAAUACCGGAUAGGAGCUCCUGCUGCAUGGUGGGGGUUGGAAAGUUUCGGCGGUUGGGGAUGGACUCGCGGCUUAUCAGCUUGUUGGUGGGGUAGUGGCUUACCAAGGCUUUGACGGGUAGCCGGCCUGAGAGGGUGACCGGCCACAUUGGGACUGAGAUACGGCCCAGACUCCUACGGGAGGCAGCAGUGGGGAAUAUUGCACAAUGGGCGGAAGCCUGAUGCAGCAACGCCGCGUGCGGGAUGACGGCCUUCGGGUUGUAAACCGCUUUCGCCUGUGACGAAGCGUGAGUGACGGUAAUGGGUAAAGAAGCACCGGCUAACUACGUGCCAGCAGCCGCGGUGAUACGUAGGGUGCGAGCGUUGUCCGGAUUUAUUGGGCGUAAAGGGCUCGUGGGUGGUUGAUCGCGUCGGAAGUGUAAUCUUGGGGCUUAACCCUGAGCGUGCUUUCGAUACGGGUUGACUUGAGGAAGGUAGGGGAGAAUGGAAUUCCUGGUGGAGCGGUGGAAUGCGCAGAUAUCAGGAGGAACACCAGUGGCGAAGGCGGUUCUCUGGGCCUUUCCUGACGCUGAGGAGCGAAAGCGUGGGGAGCGAACAGGCUUAGAUACCCUGGUAGUCCACGCUGUAAACGGUGGGUACUAGGUGUGGGGUCCAUUCCACGGGUUCCGUGCCGUAGCUAACGCUUUAAGUACCCCGCCUGGGGAGUACGGCCGCAAGGCUAAAACUCAAAGGAAUUGACGGGGCCCCGCACAAGCGGCGGAGCAUGCGGAUUAAUUCGAUGCAACGCGUAGAACCUUACCUGGGUUUGACAUGGAUCGGGAGUGCUCAGAGAUGGGUGUGCCUCUUUUGGGGUCGGUUCACAGGUGGUGCAUGGCUGUCGUCAGCUCGUGUCGUGAGAUGUUGGGUUAAGUCCCGCAACGAGCGCAACCCUUGUUCACUGUUGCCAGCACGUUAUGGUGGGGACUCAGUGGAGACCGCCGGGGUCAACUCGGAGGAAGGUGGGGAUGACGUCAAGUCAUCAUGCCCCUUAUGUCCAGGGCUUCACGCAUGCUACAAUGGCUGGUACAGAGAGUGGCGAGCCUGUGAGGGUGAGCGAAUCUCGGAAAGCCGGUCUCAGUUCGGAUUGGGGUCUGCAACUCGACCUCAUGAAGUCGGAGUCGCCAGUAAUCGCAGAUCAGCAACGCUGCGGUGAAUACGUUCCCGGG
rnacentral:rRNA from 1 species